GGGGAAGCGUGGUGGGGAACGGGGGUAGCAGGGGGGAGAAAGGAGAUGGUGGGUACAGAGCAAGAGUGAGUGAGUGAGAGGAGAAGUGGAGGGUGUGCGGGCUCGGUGGUGCUGGUGGAUGCUUUACUCCCGGCUUAUUCAAAGAGACAGCCCAAGGGAUGCCUCUCGUUCUUCUAACAAAGCACUUCUUUUUUUCCUUUUUUUUUUCCUUGAGUAUUGCUGGGUGUGCUCCAGUCGAAUCCUCUGGGCCCCCAGUCUUCCCCCUCAGCCAUUUGAGGAUGCCUCAGAAAGUUUUUCUCGCAGAUAUCGGGCCUGUUUCAGUGCUGAUGUUUCAAAUGAAUAUUGCAAUGCUGCUGUGGCCAUGCAGAGGGGUUACUUGGGGAGUAAGGAUAGAUGCCGGUUUAAUGUCAAACUUGCAGCUGAGGGAUUGUCACUCUACUCGUGUUGUGCUGCACAGCGGUGACAGCCUGCUUCAGCCGCUUUAAAGUCAUUUCAUAAAAUUGUCUUGAUCCUUGAUGAGUUUUUUCUUUGGCUCAAACUUAGUUAAAAAAAAAAAGAAGGUGCUUUUUUUUCUCCUUCGUAAUGCAAAUAAAACCUCGCAUUUCCAGUUGCACACAGACACAUACACAGUUUAUAUUAGCUCCUUCUGACAUGUGAUGACUUGGGAGUACCUAAUAUGGGCCCACGGCUUUAACAAUGCAUGAGUGAGGGAAAGAGAGAGGGGACGUGCCUGCACUCCAACUAGGUCAAACUGUCUAAGGAACAAAACAGAACAGACCUCAAGUUUGCGGAAAUCAUUACAGGAAAACAAACUUGUCACUCGCUUGACACCCUUGACUGUUUUGCUUUCCGAAGCAGAGAGAACGAUAAUAAUAAUAAAAAAAAAGAAAAAAAAAUCUCCAUUGCAAAUUAGCCUCUAUGGUUGUGAAGUUUUUCCCCCCGUUUGAAAUGCAUAUCAAAAAGCCAGCCAAAGCCACAACUUACCUUGUCGUUGACAUCGGGGGACAGGAGAAGAAAAGGCGCUUUUCUCUGCGAGAGCUGGUUUCGGUUGUAUACACAAGCCCCACAAAGGAAGAUAAACCAGAGGCAUACAUUCAUAAAAUAUACAUUUGCUUCUUUGUCUUUCGUUAAGAUCUUCAACAAAUAGUGCUGAUGCAAGAAGGACAAAAAGAGAGAAGGUUACGGGGUGUUUGAAAAAUAGAAUUGCAGCAGGAUGACUUAACCCCCGCCUGUUCCUUUAUGAAUUACUGCUAAUCACAGCAACAGGCUCAUUUAUACUUAAAGAAGCUUUGAGGGGCACUUUCGGCGCCAUUUGCCACACUCUGUCGUGGGUUUCCAGAGCGGAUGACUUUGGUCUGCAACCCCUGCUAACUCACUUAGGAUGCUCCACCGACACAGUGACAGACACCUGUGUCAAUGCGCGACACUUAGUUUGUCAUUAUCUUAUAAUACGUGUUGAUAUCGCCCAUUUCCUCGUAGUUUAUUAACACCUGUCACCUGAAUUUCUCCGUCAGUUUGCAGUCGGUUUCCAAACCUGCGCUCCUC
ensembl:lncRNA